AAAUGUCAGAGUUUCAACGUUGUCAUAGGUUUUCGUCUGCUCAACUCACAUCACUCAAAUUAAUUGUUUGUCAAAUUGCAGAGAUAGAAAAUUAGAUACAAACUUUUCAACAUUUCAAGCAGAUUCUUUAAAAUGCCUCUAAUUAAUGAGAUAUGUCUUUCAGAAAAGUGCCUAGAUUUUAUCGUAAAAGACAUCGAUAAAUUUUGUGUGAAAUCGGGCAAGGAACCACUAGAGGAAAUCGACUCAGACAUUUGCAAGAGUCCUUGUGAUCAAUUACCCUCUUUUCUGUUGGACAAACUUGUAAUGAUGUUGAUGGAGACUUGUCGUCUAGACAAGAAAUGUCUAGAGUUUCUAAUAUCUACCAACCUUUGGACUUUGGAUCUAUCCCAGUGCCAACAACAAGAAAGGGCUCACCUGUUGUGCAUUGGGUCAAUCAGAAGUCAGAAUCUGAAAACACUAAAGCUUGGAUGUGGUCACAUUGAUCCAGAAUUUUUAAAUUGCAUUUCCAAAUUUAAAUGUUUGCAAUUUCUGGAAUUUUCCCAGUGCUCAGACGGGGACAAAAUAAUGAGAAUUCUUGGAGCUCAUUGCACAGAUUUGAGAGGAGAAAUUCGAGUGAACACUUCGACUGAACAAAGGCCAGCGUAUAACAAACGGUACUAUGCAGAGUGAGCAGGGCAACACCUUUCGUCGUAAAAGCCGCAUGCUGUGGAUAACAACCGGAGAACGCAGAAAAGUAACUCGGAUUGAAGAACGAGGAAAACAAAAGGUACACAGUACACAUCACAACAUCCAUAAAUAAAAAACAAAUUUUAAAAUUAUACAAAGGAGAUCGGAUAAACUUGAAAGAUUCAACUGUUUUUAGAUAAUGUCAGCAGAAGUUCGUGUGGGCUGGCCAACCCUGGGUUCCCGUGACAAUAGAAGUAAAAUGGUCAAAUCCAAAAAUGCAAAUAAACCAUUGAUCUGUAUAUUUGACUAAAAUAAUCCGCCAUUAUAAUUUCAAAUGAAUUUGGUUGAAGGUCAUAGCGGAAACGUUACCUAAAAGUGUCAGGUGGUGGUGUAGAGGUUGGGUGAGAAAGACACGUGUUACACCAUUAUCAAGUAGGUAGAAUUGCCGCAAGGCUUGAGUUGAAAGUUGAGUCAGGGUGAGAAAAAGGCGUAUAAAAGGAGAGAGAAAAGGGCCACAUGAAUCAGUCGAGUGAGCCUCUCCGGCACGGCAACAUCUGCAUCCAAUUCGCAAUCUCGGUUAAUUAUGGCGUCGUCCUGCUGUUGGUUGUUGUAUCGUGUGGCUGUGUCGACGACUGGUGUACCGAUGUCUCCUGGGUAUGGCGGCUGCUAAACCUCAACGCCGCCGCCUUACUACGCAACAACAACAUACGCAACGACCAUUUACUACACCAAGGCACCGGAGUACUUCACGACUAGGUAUGCCGCUCACCUAAGCUCCGAAGUAUUAUGCUGCCCCUAGCUACACCACUUAAACGCCGAGUACUACACCGAGGCUGGAUAGAGGAUGGGUGAGAACGCCACGUGUUCCAUCAUUAUCAAGCAGGCUACAAUAACCGUAGUCAACUACUGCGUCGUGCUGCUGUUGGAUGUUGUAUCGUUGAUGGCUGGGUCGACCACGAGUGUACCGAUGUCUCCUGGGUGUGGCGGAUUCCAAACAACAACGACGAAGGAAUACUACACUUCGACGACGCCUUACUACACAACAACAACGUAUGCAAUACCUUACUACACCGAGACUCCGAAGUACUACACCACCAAUGCUCCAAAGUAUUGCUUAACUUAUGCUGCCCCGAGCUACUACACCGAAGACCCGAAGUAUGACUCUGCCCCGAGCUACACCGCCAAAGCGCCUGAGUGCUACACGACUACGUAUGCCGCUCCAGUUUAGUAAACCGAAGGCUCUUAAGUACUACACCAAGGUUUCCAAGUACUACUCUGCUCCCAGCUACUACACCAAGGUUCCAGCUUACAACAUCGAGGCUCCCAAGUACUUUUUCUCCCAGCUACUAUACCAAGGCUCCCGUUCAUUACACCACCGAAGCGGUUGAACACUACACCGAAGCGCCCAAGCACUACUCUGCCCCGAGCUACACAACCAUAACUGAUGCUGUUAAGUAAAUGAUCGUGACACGACUUACUACACAGGAGCUCCAGUUUACUACACCACAACCUACGCUACACCUUUACUACACUGGAGCUGAAAAGUACGAGAGAGCCUAAUACUUCACCACUACAUAUGCUGCCUUAGUUCACUAUACCGAGGAAUUCAAGUGUUACUCUGCUCACAGCCACCACCAAACCGAGGUUCCUGUUUACUACACCACCAAGGCACCCCGGUUGUGUACUGCUUCUUACGCUGCUUCGACCUACUACACAGAAUUUUUAAGUAUAACUCUGCCCCGAGUUACUUUUCCAGUAAGGCACCUGAUGCUACACCACAACCUACGCUUAUCCAGCUUAUUACAAGGAAGUUUGAUUUGGUUGUGUUUAGAUUUGUUGGUCACAUAGUCAGUUUAGUUUUGGUUUGGUCACUGGGAUUUGAUUGUUUAUCUUUGACUGAGAAAAUAAACUUUGAAUGCGAA
rnacentral:misc_RNA from 1 species